UACAGAGGUCCCGAGCGUUGUUCGGAUUCACUGGGCGUAAAGGGUGCGUAGGUGGCGAGGUAAGUCGGAUGUGAAAGCUCGGAGCUCAACUCCGAAAUGGCAUUGGAAACUGGCGAUCUAGAGUGCGGUAGAGGGUAGUGGAAUUCCCGGUGUAGCAGUGAAAUGCGUAGAGAUCGGGAGGAACAUCUGUGGCGAAGGCGACUGCCUGGACCAGCACUGACACUGAGGCACGAAAGCGUGGGGAGCAAACAGG
rnacentral:rRNA from 1 species